UACGUAGGGCGCAAGCGUUGUCCGGAAUUAUUGGGCGUAAAGAGCUCGUAGGCGGCUUGUCACGUCGGAUGUGAAAGCCCGGGGCUUAACUCCGGGUCUGCAUUCGAUACGGGCUGGCUAGAGUGUGGUAGGGGAGAUCGGAAUUCCUGGUGUAGCGGUGAAAUGCGCAGAUAUCAGGAGGAACACCGGUGGCGAAGGCGGAUCUCUGGGCCAUUACUGACGCUGAGGAGCGAAAGCGUGGGGAUCAAACAGG
rnacentral:rRNA from 1 species